UUAGGCUACAGGAGAUGAGCAUUACAGGUAACAAUUAGGCUACAGGAGAUGAGCAUUACAGGUAACAAUUAGGCUACAGGAGAUGAGCAUUACAGGUAACAAUUAGGCUACAGGAGAUGAGCAUUACAGGUAACAAUUAGGCUACAGGAGAUGAGCAUUACAGGUAACAAUUAGGCUACAGGAGAUGAGCAUUACAGGUAACAAUUAGGCUACAGGAGAUGAGCAUUACAGGUAACAAUUAGGCUACAGGAGAUGAGCAUUACAGGUAACAAUUAGGCUACAGGAGAUGAGCAUUACAGGUAACAAUUAGGCUACAGGAGAUGAGCAUUACAGGUAACAAUUAGGCUACAGGAGAUGAGCAUUACAGGUAACAAUUAGGCUACAG